GUAAACUCAGAUGGUGCAGUGUCAAAAUUUGGAGCAAAAGGGGGAGGAGGAGCAGUUCUUAGAGAUCACAAUGGUGCCUUUCUGGCAGCUACCUGUCAUCAUUUCCCAAACAUUAUGGAUCCGGAAGCUACUGAGGUCUUGGCGUGUCGACGUGCUUUGCAGGUAGCAGCAGACAUUAACGCAAUAAGAGUUCAUCUGGAGUUGGAUGCUCAAGCUGUGGUGAAUAUGCUGAAACAUUCAGCGAGGAAUCUGUCGGCUAACGGCCCUUGGAUUGAGGAGGUGAAAGCUCUUCUUGGGUCCUUCGUCGAGUACAAGAUUUUUUGGGUUCGGCGUUCUGCUAAUAUUGCCGCGCAUAAAUUAGCUAAAGUAGGUGUUGGUGAUGAAUUGUGUAAGGUGUGGUUGGGGGUCCCCCAGACUUUGCUAUUUCUGUAA
rnacentral:rRNA from 1 species